AAUGAUGAGCCUGAUUUUAAAGGACUAUCGUGAUAGGAUAAAAUAUGUAGAUUAACCCUACCUUCAUUA
rnacentral:tRNA from 1 species